UACGUAGGGUGCGAGCGUUAAUCGGAAUUACUGGGCGUAAAGCGUGCGCAGGCGGUUCGUUGUGUCCGAUGUGAAAGCCCCGGGCUUAACCUGGGAAUGGCAUUGGAAACUGGCGAGCUUGAGUGCGGCAGAGGGGGGUAGAAUUCCACGUGUAGCAGUGAAAUGCGUAGAUAUGUGGAGGAAUACCGAUGGCGAAGGCAGCCCCCUGGGAUAACACUGACACUCAUGCACGAAAGCGUGGGGAGCAAACAGG
rnacentral:rRNA from 1 species